rnacentral:lncRNA from 1 species
CACCAGGGCUGGCAAAUGCAGUGCAGAUCCAUUGGUCUUAAAUGUGGGAAAUAGUCUACAGUUUGGAAGACACCAGAGAAAAAUGCUCCACAGCUCGCCCUGGUGACUCACUACAACUUAUGGGAAGAUGUGAGAUUAUUCUGUAUUCUAAUGUAUGUUAGAAGGCACACUCCACCCAAAGCCUUCCUGUGUGUUCCUCCCUGUGAGCUCACAUCCCGUUCACCAGCUGACUGGGAAGGGAAGUCAGGACCAGCCCUGACCCCAUCACACCAUCAUAACCUCGGGAUGGCAGGGCUGGAAGGCACCUCAGACGUCAUCCUUUGCAGACUCUUCAUUUUACAGUGAGAGGCAUGACGUGUCCACAGCUGGUUAGUGCCAAAGCCUGGGACAGGCUUCACAUUGUCCAGCUCUUAGUCAGAGCACUGUUGACAAUGUCUGCCUUCACUUGGAAUUCAGCACCUGCUUUCAGUAUAAACCCCUGCAUUUCACUAAAACUGAGCAGACUGCUGGUUUAAAAAAGAGAGGUCCAUCCAGCAGGGAUGAUGCUUUUCCUCGUUGAAAGAGGACAUUCACCUAAUGGGAGACCUGGAGUCAGAAUCUUUCUGAUGUGUGACUUGGCACAGUAACACAAUGCAGGAUGCUGGUGUGUUAAUAAAAAUAAAAAUUGCAUCGCCUACCUCAGAGUCGACAACAAUGUCAAGGAGUUAAUAGUCUUGGCAACACAGAGGCCACUGGACAGAGGCAUAACCUUGCGUGGCAGCUGCACGGGAAUUGGAUUUGGCUCAGGUGUUUCAGAUGACUAAGAACAAAGGGGACCACUCUUGGUAUAGAAGUUCAUCUCGUCGGGAGCAUCUGUGGUUCUUUUAUAAGCAAUGUACAUUCUACAAUAGAGGCAGACCCAGAAAUAAUUCAGAUAUUGGAGUUAGAAGAUCAGGAUUCUAAAAAAACCAAAAGAUCCUGCCUUACUAUGCACCUAUGGCCCUUCAAAGGCGAGAGUAGAAUCUGCUAUGAUUUAGAAGCAAGCAAUAAAAAGUACACAUCAGGUGAGUGGAUGCUAGCUAAGACCUUGGGCUUUGGGGUCAGACAGGCCUGGGUUUAAAUCCUGGCCCUGUCAUUCUGGGGAAACAUGUUUCUGCUUUCUCCUAUAUGAAAUAGAGGCAGUGGGUAUCCUGAACAUGUCACCUUUACUUGUCCAGCUUGUCAGUUAGGGUUUGGUUAGGGAAACAGAGCUGCUGUAAACAUUAUGGGAAUAAGGGAUUUUAUUCAGAAUUGGAGCCUGCACAGAUGUAGAAGGAGGCAUGAAGAGGGUAUUGGAGGAUUGCCCACUAUGCAGUCUGCAUCCUGAGUCUGUGGUGAGGCUGGACACGUUCAAGCUUACAGGAGAACUGGAGAAAGCAAGCAACACAGCGGUGGAAGUGAGACCACUGAAGGUAAGCUUGGGAGGGGGUCCCGACACCACCACAUCAGUGGAUCCACAGCUAAGUGAUUGGUGGUGGCCUGGGGUUCUGCUGUUUAGCAGGGACAAGAGUGGAGGAGACAAACUGGACUCGGAACAAACUGGGAGCCUCUGCAUCCAUCCGUAACUGUCUGGCCGUGACAGUGGUUAGAGAGGAGUGGCUUCUGUGAAACUCUCACAAUCUCAAAUCUCCCACAAGUGCCUCUUUCAGCUAACUCUAAACUGGUACCAUAGAGGAAAUGGAUUCUGAAAACUUGGUCUCCAACCUUAGACAAAUUGAAUAAUUAAUAUGUCCUCUCCUGCUUCUUCUGUAACUGAAUUUGCAUUGGGAAGCAGGCCUGUCACUCUCAGACUUUGUGGUUUGAGUAGGGCUCACUUCAGCACCACCUUUUCCUCUUCUCAGCCCCACGGACUGGCAUGAGACUCAGGCCUGGCCAACUGAAUGUCACACACCUAUGACCAUCAGUUGGCUCAGAGAUGGACUCAGGACACCAUCACAGCCAAUGAAACCCUGUUAGGGAAAUUUGUCAGAACCAUACAAAGAAAUAGCUCCACUUUUCCAUAGAGAUGAGACAUAAGCCUGGACUAACUGGUGUCCAAUUUGCCAUCAAGAGAGCAUCUGAGAAGACAGAGGAAAACUGGGGAAAGCGAAGUCUAAGGAAGGUGAGUAAGGACAAGUCCAGUUGAUAUUACAUGAAUCACCUGGACCUGGAAAUCAAGGCAUUGCUGGAUUCAAGGCCAAGAAAAAUUGGAAGCUGGCUUGAAUCAGGUUCUAUCACUUGCAGUUGAAAAGGUCCAGACUAAUAUGAUAACAAAGGAGCAAGUAAGCAAGAUUCUGCCCUACAGUAAGUGCUCAAUGCAUGUCAGCUGGUAUUAUUAUUAUACAGACUUCUAUUUCUAGCCCUUUUAUUUCUACCACCUCUCUUCUGUGUUUUAUGUAAAGUGCAUAAGGAUUGUUCUGUUUGGAAACAUCAAACCAUAUAAAAUGACACCAGCAGGUCCCUUUCUGUCUGUCAGUGUCCACAAGCUCAACAACCAGGAUCAGCAGACAAAAACAGCUAAGCUGGAGUCAGUGUUUUUAUGAAGAAACAGGAAAAGAACUUACUUGGGAACUGUAGCUCAUCCUCCAAUAUUCUCCAUCCUAUCACUCUUUUCAUGACAGUUUCUUCUUGGCCCUGAAGUUGCCUUGUCAUGGCUCCCUGCCUCUGUCCUUUCUCUGUCUCACUUACAUCUUCCAAUGAGGAAUACAGCAAGACCUUUGGAUGAGGACCUCCAAAGGUCCUCAGUAUCCUUAGGACACUCGGUGCAGAACUAGAGGGACUGAGAGGAGGAGCUUUUGCAGGUUAAAUGACUAGUGAAUGGCCUUUCCUUAUAUUUCCAUUAGAAAUGGGAUUAGCUACACCUGAGAAGGAAUGACUUUGGAACAACUGAUCCCUAGCUUUCCAAAAUAUGAGAAAUUGAGAUGCAGGGAGUAGUAAGCACCUAGUUAAUGAGUCAAAGCAUAUUUAUAAAGUUCACAGGGUACAUAGCAUAUAGCAGCUGUUCUCUAUCUCAGUUGAGUUUUGACUAGGAAAUGGGCUUAGGAUAAAACACAUAGGCUUUUGAGUAAUCAUUUGUAAGAAAUUGUAGAUAGUGACCACAGUUUAAUAGCAUUAGAUAAAUUAUGAAAAGUCACUGAAAUACCUUCUCUGGAAAAUGUUAGAAGCUCAAGUACAAUGGCUUAGUUAAAGGCAGGUGGGGGAGAAACUUGAAGAAUGUGGUCCAGUACAAGAAUACCCCAUUUUUCCCCUAAGGCAAUGAAAAUGACAUGAAGUAAUCAUAGUUAUUUAUACAGGAACAAUUUAGGAGACUUAGAAUAUUCACUUCUUUUGCCUUCUAGCUGAGCAUCAAAAUUCUCUCUCUGUCUCUGCCUCUCUCUCUCUAUUUUCCACUUCUAGCUCCAACUAUUUUAAAUCCCUCCCCCAAUAGAACUCAUAACAAACAUAAAACAACAUUUGUUGUAUGUUUACAAUAGAUGUUCAAGCUAAUAUUUAUGUAGGCUUAGCCCUGGCAUUAAAUUAAGGUUUGGUUCACCAACAGGGUGCCUAGAGACUUCACCUCUAUUUCCAUGAGGGACUGAACAGCCUCUUGAGAAGGGACUCAUCAAAAUGGAAGAGUUGGCAAUAAGAAGUUUGGCUAAAUAACCAAGCACUGAAGUUGCAGAGGAGAAAGGAUUUGAAAGGCAGUACAGUGUCCAGGGGCAAGUUGGCAAUUUUUAGCAGGAGGUGAAGUGAUGCCAGCAGAGGUAACAGUGCUCAGAGGGACCAGUAGUCCCCAGGAGGAGCAGGGGAAUCCCCAGUGGAUCUGAUUUGUUCAAGAGCACAUGUGAGAUUAUCAGCUGGCGUUACAAUUUUGGAGUGGCAGUGAGAAGCAGUGAAUUUGAGGUCACUCAAUUUGCAGACCCCAAAGGGUGAAAUGUUGAGAAACAUGAGUUACACAUGUAUUUAACAGCUCUUGUGUAUUAUCACAAAUCCUAUUUCACCUCUCAUGCCCCCGAGGCUUUGGUGUCCAGUUCUCUGAAGACUUCAUCAAUCCUCAGCCAUAAAUCACCUGAGAGCAACUCACCUUGCUUCAUACUAUGAAGCUCCCUGAUGUCACAGCAUGGCAGGCCUGUGGCAACCCCUCAACACUUAUGCAUGAUCCCAAACAGCUAGAGGAUUAACACCUACGGUGUAACCCUUGACCAGCAGGAAAUGGAAAUUACUGUCUUUUUGUCCCCGCAGGUGAAUGGUUCUAAAAUGCAUUUUAUAAGCCUUCUGAAAUAGUCCCACAGGUCAAGCACCUACUUGCUCCAGUGGUGACCAACUCAAUGAUGCAUCCUUGGGUUGACUCUCCCUCCUUUCCAGUUCACUUUCCCCGCCCCUCACUCCUGCACCUCAGCAUCACAUUCCUGAAUAAACCACUCACACAUCUGUCUUAUUUCAGACUCUGUUUGGGGGAAUCCACAAUAAAAAUUUGUCAUUUUGAGUUAAACAUUGCUCUCACCUUGAAGACAUAUUUCCAUACCUAGAGAUUUCUGAAGUUCUCUCCCUUUUCCUAUCAUCUCCUUUGUGCUUUGUCUGACCUCCAUGUUACAGAGCCCCAUGAUAUUUAGAGCCAGUACUGCUAGGGAAGUAGUUCAGUUGUGUUUUAAAUGGUUCAGCAACUUGUAACAUCAACUGAGAACCAGAGGAAUACACUUGGAGGCCAAGAAAAAAAUGUUAGCUAAUAUGUACCAUACAGUAUGAUUCCUUGGGUAAGGGAAAGUAUAUGCAAGUGACAGAGGAAAAUUGAAAGUUGUAGCCCUUUUUUGGACUUUAGAUUUGGAAUUAAAGUUUCUCUUCUCUUGAAAGACCUUCUUUUUGUGGAUAAUGAUGAAUCUGAAGACCAGAACAGUGGGCCAAUUUGCCUUAGUUGAGAGUGGCAAAUAAAUGAAGAACUGAAGAACGUAUCUCUUUAACUAGUGCUCCUUUGUUGAGAAGAUACAAAACAAACAAUUGAAGGGUAUGGAUGAAGCCAUUGGCUUAUUCAUGUCUCUGUUGAUCAUAAUGAGAUUAAUAUAUAUAGGACAUUCACACAAAGAGGAUAUUGACUCGAUGGCUUACAGAUUAUUAGAGUUAGAAAUGUGACCUACUACUAAAGGAAGAAUGUUUCAGGUGUGGAUCUCUGAUUUAAAAAAUACACCACACUUGCCUCAGUGAAGCAAGUCAACUUAGGUGCUGAUACAAUGCCACUGCAGCUGUGCUGAGUUCAUGAAAUCAGAUCCCACUCUCUUCACCUACCCCUACCGUAUUCAUCCUACUUUCCGUCUGCUCUGCCCUUCCCAUUUGGUAACCUAGUCAUGAAACACCUGGCUCUGGGUCCUUCCUUCAGCAUCACUCCACGUUGUACUGCUGGCAUCGCUUUUCUUGGCACAGAACCUCUUAGGGCUGCUAUCCUAGGAGUAGGUGCUACUCAGGCUGGCUUAGUCCCAGGCUUCACUCACUUCUUGGCCCAUGGCCAGGAGGACCGGAAAGAACAAACUCUCUGCACAUCUCUGCAGGUGGCCACAGAGCCCCCAUCUGAGCCUUGCUGAUGGAGAAGAGCAUGCUGCAUCACAAGAUAACUGUGUGGCUCUGUUCAAAAACCUUGUUUAGAAGUUAUUAUUUCUUUUAUUGCAUUAGAAUUUGCCUCACUGUAGCUUUUGUGCUUCUGUCCUGGUUCAGCCUUAGAUAGCAGUGCAGCCUGGUCCAUGUGAAAGCUCUUGCAAUAGGCCUUUCUGCUAGUCAGGAGUUCUCAGACCCAUCCCUACUCUUCACUUUUCUCAAGACUAAUAUCAGACUCCUGGGCUCUUCAAGGUUUCCUCAUAUGAUAAAAGUUCUAAGCCCUCCAUUGUCCUAGUCACUGUCCUCUCUGUUCCAUCCCUGUCUGCCCUUCCAAGAUGCUGCACCUGGAGAUGAAUUUGUCCUUCCUGGGGCAAGUCACCAUGAGAUGAUUACUUUUGGAUCAUACUGAAUUUGUGGGUUAAAUAAACUCAUAGGUCUUUAUCUCAUGCACUAAAUCCAAAUUCGAUCUCUUGCCGUAAAUCAUUUUUUUGAAUAGCUGAACAAUAAGUAAAUAAUACACAAAUGAAAACUAAUCAAUAUUUGAACAUCCUCAGUAUUUUCAGCCCUAGUUUGAGCCAGACAUAGCUCAUCUUGUAUACUUCACUAAGGACACUUUAUACGAUCAAGCAAUUAAUAUUAUGAUGUCAUGUCUCGCAAGCCCCAUAGUGUCACUUCCAGUCUCUUCACCACAAAGAACGUUGAAGCCUUCGUAUUUUUUUGAAAAUCAUAUUUCUAGCUGCAGGAUGGGAUGUAAGAAAAGUUCAGAUUAGGAUUAUUCUAGGCUCCUGACUAUAACUAAAAUCCUGAUUUUUUAUGGAAAGGAAUGAGGAUCAUUCCUUCAAAUUAGAUUUUUGUGAUAAAAAGAAAAAAGUUGGUAAUCUAUUCAAAAUUGUAACAAAAAUAACUGCAUUUUUCUUUGGAAAAUAAUAGUUGAUUC